UGACAAGAAGACUGGAACUAAUUUGCUUCAAUGGCCAGUGGAAGAAAUAGAGAGCUUGAGACUUAGCAGUGAUGAAUUUAAGGAAUUAUUGGUUAAACCUGGUAGAGUAGUACCAUUACACAUUGGCCUUGCAACACAGUUGGACAUAUUUGCUGAAUUUGAAAUAGAAUUGUUGGGAUCAGAAGGGAUUGUGAAUAAGGAGGACUCUAAAUUUUGAAGGGUGUAGAGUUGGUACGGUUGAGAGAAGGGCUUUUGGACCAUUUGGCAUUUUGGCUAUUGCAAAUAACCAACUUUCUGAACUAACACCAAUUUAUUUUCGUCUUUCAAAUUAUGGAAAUGGAACCUCAACUACUACAACUAUUACUACUUCUACUUCUACUUCCUUCUGUGUUGAUGAAACUAGGUCAUCAAAGGCACCUGAUGUAUCAAAGCUAGUUUUCGGAAGCAAAUUGCCUGUUCUAAGUGAUGAAAAACUAUCAUUGAAGGUAUUGGUAAGUAGUGUCAAUUAACCUAUUUGGUCUCACGUGACUUGAUUCACGAGAUAAUAUUUAAAUUGGAUUAUCAAAAAUCACACAUAAGUCGAUAUGGUUCAUUAAACUGAUUAAAGAUUCAAUACUUUCAAUUUAGUUCUUGAAAGAUA